GUCUUCGUGGAGUAAUUUGGAAACUCAUUCCCUAUAUCUGUGGGCUCGAUGGGUGAAAGUUGAACGGGAGAGUUGGUGGUUCGAGCCCGCCCGAAGGCA